GAUGAACGCUGGCGGCGUGCCUAAUACAUGCAAGUCGAGCGGAAAGGCUACUUCGGUAGUACUCGAGCGGCGGACGGCUGAGUAACACGUAGGAACGUACCCCAAACUGAGGGAUAAGCACCAGAAAUGGUGUCUAAUACCGCAUGUGCUCUAAGGAGUAAAGCUUCGGCGGUUUGGGAACGGCCUGCGCAUGAUUAGCUUGUUGGUGAGGUAAUGGCUCACCAAGGCGACGAUCAUUAGCUGGUCUGAGAGGAUGAUCAGCCAGACUGGGACUGAGACACGGCCCAGACUCCUACGGGAGGCAGCAGUAGGGAAUUUUCCACAAUGGGCGAAAGCCUGAUGGAGCAACGCCGCGUGCAGGAUGAAGGCCUUCGGGUUGUAAACUGCUUUUAUAUGUGAAGAUUAUGACGGUAACAUAUGAAUAAGGAUCGGCUAACUCCGUGCCAGCAGCCGCAGUAA
rnacentral:rRNA from 1 species